rnacentral:lncRNA from 1 species
UUAGAGCCUUGCGUUUUUUAGAACCUUGUCUGAAUAUUCCAAGAACAGUAGAAAAAUAUGAAAGAAUAAGAUAGGCAUUUUCGUCUUUUAAUCAUUUCAAGAAAAAAAAAUAAACAUGUCAAAACUAAGAAUACAAACAAAAUACCUAAUUUUAAACAGUCAAAUCUGUAAACGGGGUUUCACAUGCUAAGUGUGAAUUAAUACAAUAAUAUUCCUUACAUUAAAAACAUAACAUAAAAGCAAAUGCAAUCACUUAAUAUUUUGGUCUAGUUAUAUUUCAAUCCACAUUUACGUGACAAUUAUUACAUUUAACUUCUACAAAUGGUGUAUUUGAUAUAAUUUAUUAUGAUUGACUCAUUGUGUGUCUUAGUCUAAAUCUCCCACACUUUAGUUUUAAAAUAUCGAUCCAAAAAGAAAAUUAAAAAAAUCAAAUGCAAAAGUGUAAGGUUGAUAACUUUUAGCCACUUACUACGGACUAGUGUUAUUACUUUUCACUUAUAAGUGAGAGGUCUUAGUUUCAAUUAUCGCCAAAAGCGAGUUUGAACCACAUUAUUGCUAGCCCAUUGUGAGGCUUAACCAACUCUCACAUCUCUUUAAUGUAAAUAAUACCGUUUGUUAAAAAAAAAAUACAAAACUUUUGAAUCUCAAAGGCGUUUACAAUCUAAGAAUCGAAGUAAGCAAAAAUCUAGUUACUAAUUGUUAGCAGGGCCGGCCCAAGCCCAGUGCCACAUGGGCAACAGUCCAGGGCCCCAAAAUGAAGGGGCACAACAAAAAAACCCAUAUAACUAAGUAUAAUAAUAAUGAUAAUAAUAAUAAUGU